UUCAUUUAUCUCUCUUUUUCUGUGAUAGGCCAGGCACAAACUAGCGCAGCACCACGGACAGCAACAGUGACAUUAAACACGACUGCCUCACAGCCAGGAGUCGGAGCUGUCAGGUUGGUGAAUGGAUCCAACCUCUGUUCUGGAAGAGUGGAGGUUCUCCACAAUGGAAUCUGGGGAACAGUGUGUGAUGAUCUGUGGGAUUCAACAGACGCGGCAGUGGUGUGUAGAGAACUGGGCUGUGGGAAUGUCAUAGAGGCAAAGAGCUUUGCUUAUUUUGGACAAGGUUCUGGACAAAUAUGGUUGGAUGAUGUUCAGUGCCGUGGGAAUGAAUCUACACUGAAAAACUGUUCAUCAAGUGGAUGGGGAUCACAUAACUGUGGUCACCAAGAAGAUGCUGGAGUCAUCUGCCAAGGUGAGUCA